rnacentral:rRNA from 1 species
GAUGAACGCUGGCGGCGUGCUUAACACAUGCAAGUCGAACGGGAAACCUUUUAUUGAAGCUUCGGCAGAUUUAGCUGGUUUCUAGUGGCGGACGGGUGAGUAACGCGUGGGUAACCUGCCUUAUACAGGGGGAUAACAACCAGAAAUGGUUGCUAAUACCGCAUAAGCGCACAGGACCGCAUGGUCCGGUGUGAAAAACUCCGGUGGUAUAAGAUGGACCCGCGUUGGAUUAGCUAGUUGGCAGGGUAACGGCCUACCAAGGCGACGAUCCAUAGCCGGCCUGAGAGGGUGAACGGCCACAUUGGGACUGAGACACGGCCCAGACUCCUACGGGAGGCAGCAGUGGGGAAUAUUGCACAAUGGGGGAAACCCUGAUGCAGCGACGCCGCGUGAAGGAAGAAGUAUCUCGGUAUGUAAACUUCUAUCAGCAGGGAAGAUAG